rnacentral:rRNA from 1 species
GGAACGCUGGCGGUCUGCCUAACACAUGCAAGUUGAACGUAAACAUUCCUGACUAAAAUAUCUAUUAUUUUUUCUCGAUGUUGUGAGUGGCGAACGGGUGAGUAACGCGUAAGAAUCUACCUUUGGGGCGGGGAUAAUGUUGGGAAACUAUCACUAAAACCCGAUAAUCUGAGAAGUGAAAUAUUGAAAAAUACCUAGAGAUGAGCUUGCGUUUGAUUAGCUAGUUGGAGAUGGUAAUUACGCUUCAAGGCAACGAUCAAUAGCUGGUUUGAGAGGAUGAACAGCCACACUGGGACUGAGACACGGCCCAGACUCCUAUGGGAGGCAGCAGUGAGGAAUUUUCCGCAAUGGGCGAAAGCCUGACGGAGCAAGACCGCGUGGCAGAAGACGGCCCGUGGGUUGUAAAUGCCUUUUCUUCAGGAAGACUACGACGGUACUGAAGGAAUAAGCAUCGGCUAACUCUGUGCCAGCAGCCGCGGUAAGACAGAGGAUGCAAGCGUUAUUCGGAUUGACUGGGCGUAAAGCGUCCGUAGGUUGUGCUCUAAGUCUUUUGUUAAAUGUCGAAGCUCAACUUCGGCCCAGCAAAUGAAACUCGAGCGCUGGAGAACGAUAGAGGCAGUGGGAAUUCUCGGUGUAGCGGUGAAAUGCGUAGAGAUCGGGAGGAACACCAGAGGCGAAAGCGCGCUGCUGGGUCGAUUCUGACACUAAAGGACGAAAGCUAGGGUAGCGAACGGGAUUAGAUACCCCGGUAGUCCUAGCCCUAAACGAUGGAGACUAGACUUUCUUUCAACUUCUAGCUUACAAUGCUUCAAGCUAAAUUAGAGUCGAAGCUAACGCGUUAAGUCUCCCGCCUGGGAAGUAUGCUCGCAAGAGUGAAACUCAAAGGAAUUGACGGGGGCCCGCACAAGCGGUGGAGCAUGU